UACGUAGGGUGCGAGCGUUGUCCGGAAUUAUUGGGCGUAAAGAGCUUGUAGGCGGUUUGUCGCGUCUGCCGUGAAAGCCCAGGGCUUAACCCUGGGUCUGCGGUGGGUACGGGCAGACUAGAGUGUGGUAGGGGAGACUGGAAUUCCUGGUGUAGCGGUGAAAUGCGCAGAUAUCAGGAGGAACACCGAUGGCGAAGGCAGGUCUCUGGGCCGACUACUGACGCUGAGAAGCGAAAGCAUGGGGAGCAAACAGG
rnacentral:rRNA from 1 species